rnacentral:tmRNA from 1 species
CGCUCAACCACGAUAAAAUGAGCAAAACAAUAGCUGCCAACAACAGCAAACCUGCUCUGGCUUUCGCCGCCUAAGGCGCUUAGCCUGAGUGUUGGGUCCUAGUAACCCAACCGUUCGCCCCAUCCGUUUCCAUCCGGGUGGCUCGGCGGGCGUCAUUAAAGAUGGAAUGCGACGCGCACGACGCCGAUAAGUGCCCGUCAAAGACGACAUCGGCUGGCUGGCGGCGAACCGUGUUGACCGGGCUAUCGCCGGCGAGAGUCAAAUAGCCAACUAAGCCUGUAGAUGCGUUGUAUCGAUUCUUACGGACCGGAGCUGCGAUGCUCCGCACCUCCAUCA